rfam:Ovis aries breed Texel chromosome 7, whole genome shotgun sequence.
UCUUUGGUAGCUCAGAUGGUCAAGAAUCUGCCUGCAAGGCAGGAGACCCAGGUUCAAUCCCUGGCUCAGGAA